UCCGUUCUUCCAGUGUGAAGAAUCAGGCAUGACUUUCGGGUACAGAGCCUUGGUUUUACUUCCAUCUAGACUUUCAGAACACACAAUCUGUAGCAGGAAUAAUACCAUGGGUGUGAAUUAUUUUAUGUACGGACUCUUGAACUUUAACUGAUUUGAUCAUGAGAUGAAGCUUGGAGACAGAUUGCCAUUCUAUUUUGUGCCCAGUUUUGUCCUUCCCCAUAGGAAAAAAGACUUUCUUUGAUGUCUCUAAUAUUGUUCUAAUUAUUUAAAUGUCUUCAUUUUGGAGUAUUAUAUGUGGAAAAUACAAGCAGAAAUUUGGACAUCAGCUUUUGUUGUCUCUUUAGUCACGGAAGUAUACAUGCUAGGGACCACUACUAGGAAGGAUAAACUAAUCCACAAUGCACCAUUAGUUCACUCCUGCCUGUGGUCAGCUUCUAUUUUCACACUAGAGAAAGUUUCUCUUUAAAACAAACAAAUGCAAAUUAAACUCAUAACCUCGAGUGGCUGGCAAUUGCUCUCCUGUUCCACAAAGGGGCGCUAUAGAGUUUUACAAGUUGCCCUUUUAUGGGCAGAAAGGAAACCAUAAUACAAAUGAUCAUGAUUAGUCAAUGCUUUGGUUUCUCAUAAAUGAGCACUUAGUGUCUAUUUCUUAAAUGAAGGUAAGGGGGAAAGUUCUCACCACAGAGAUGAGCAUGUGGAUUUGAUCAAGUCACUCCCAAAGUGUUGCCUUCACCUGCCGAAUGAUGCCAAAUGAGUCUGAAUGUUUUGGAGGUUUAAAAUAAGCCUUGAGAAAAAUUUAAAAUGUACAUGGUGCAAUCCGAGAAAUGCUCUCUUAAGUUUCGCAGUUAUAAAUCUGGAAGAGUUGUUUGGGUCAUUAGAUUACUUUUAGGCAAUCCAAAAUCUCUAAAAUCCCAUUAAACUGUAGUCCCUUCUAACGUAACACUUUGUACUGAGGCUAACGGGAGAUCACGAGAUACUGAGCCACCCGUGCAGUCCGAGACUCGUAUGAAGAUAACCACCCGGGCUAUUUGGUAUUGCGUAUGAAGCAAGUGACUAACUUAUUGAUUUCAUUUUAAAUAUUUGUUACCACUAAGGAGUUUACAGAUGUAUUUGGGUCUGCAUUUUUAACCUGUAUUUUUUUCUUCUUUGAGGGUGGAUGAUUACCCUGUAAGAGAGAGAAAUCUAGGGACCAGUGAGGUGGCCCAGCAGGUAAACUGCUUGCCACCAGCUCUUAUGGCCUGAGCUGAAUUUCCCAGGACUCACACAGUAGAGGAGAGAACUGCCUCCCUCAAGGUGUUCUCUGACUUCCACACGUACACCAUGACACACACACAUACUCCACAAAUAAAUACACAUCUUAAAAAAGCGUUAGGCAAUUUUGAAAAGAAAGGGGGAAAUGCUGCCUUGUACAAAGCACACUUUCAUCUAUGUGUAUUGCUUCCGAGGACGAGAUACAUCUAUGACAUUUUGCUCUUUCUUUCAUUGCCUGUUGGCAAAACCACCCACUGGCGAUGGAGGUACAUGGCAUAUUUGCUAAGAGACGAAGACAAGAGAAAACUUACUGUUCCGGGCAGUAGUGUAAAUAGUCCACAAGUUCUGAGUCUGUGAUGUGUAAACCAGAAUCAGGAUCCUCCAUGACAUGUAGUAAGCCCAAGGCAUAAGAAGGCGAGGCCAAAGAAGGUCAAUAAGAUCUUCAGAGAGCCGAGGUGGUAGAAAUAGAAUAGUUUAGGCAAGGCAUGGAUUUUGUAGGGACUCUUGAGAGACCCACAGAAACGUCAGGAGAGCCAGGUCGCCGACACGAAGUCCUCACCGCUGUCCCCGCAGAAACUCUACUGCCAGACCUACUCCCGCCUUCAUAGUGUAGCUUCCAUGCUGUGUGCAGCUCAAACUGAGGGCAUUCAGGUCUGGCCCCCAGAACUUAAACCAUUUCUUGCUUCAAGGAGGCCUUAUAGCUCUUCGUCUUCUUUGCCCCAACCAGAGAAAUAAAACAACAAAAUCUCCAUCUUUUUGUGCUCCCCCAUGAAGUGGAUUUCUGCAUGAGCAUAUCGGAUUGGUGCCUACGUGUCUGCUUCCAUGCGUGAAGCCUAGGUGGGAAACUUAGCUCUUAGAGGGGGGUUUCCAGUCAGAGGAAGGAUCGUGAGAAGAUAGUGAGCAAAUGUAACAAAAAGCCUCUGCUGGCUGUCUACGAGGGUGAAGAGAAAACCAUUUAACUAAACAAGUAAAAGCACUGUCAAGGAGUCAGGUUGUUAAAGGUUGGUGGAAAGAACUGUCACAAUUUCAGGAGCCAUUAUUACUUCCAGAGACGCGACAACAAUUCUUGCUUUCAGAGCUGAGGAUAUGAUAGACCUCAUCCAGCAGCGUCCCCUCCCCAGCCUGAGAAUGUGUUUGCUCUUCUCUUUCCUAUGUUCAUAAAAUCUGGACAGCCUCUGCCUAAGUCAUAUGGUUGCCAUGGGUUCACACUUCAUUCACCUCAUUUUGUAGUCUACAGCCUUCAUCAGGAUACAAGAACAUUUCCCAGCAGAGCACAGGACACGAGACACGCGGGACUGGAGACUCUCUGGUACGCACGGGGCCUGAUAGGAUGUGGUCUGUUCAUUCUUACUCAUUCUUUCCUGAAAUUCUGUGGAUGGAGGUAUUGUGUUAUGAAUGGAGUUAUUAGUAUUCAGGAGCAUUUUGGUUAUUUUUUUCCCAGCGUGAGGAUUUAGAAUGUCUGUUGCUGUCUUUCUAACGGAACACUUGUAUAUCCCUCUAGGACUCGCUCCUUUCCCAUCUAAUCCGCUCGCCCCGCAGACAUUCGGUGAGAUGAGGUGCAAUAAGUUGGGCCGCUUUCUGCAUUUUGCUUCUUAAAAUUCUUGCCUUGUUUGGGUUCAAAGUUAGGUCUCAGUUCCUCCCGAGAGGCCCUUUGGAUUCUCCAAGUUUUGACAGAUCUGACAGAAGCGGGAUAUGUAAAGACACAAGAGGCCCCAGAACACAUCCAUUCUCCUGUGCAUCAAAGGCCUCUACACUAUCGCAGAAAGGACUUAAGGCAUCUGAUGCCUAUGCCCAGGAAAGAGUCGAGAUAGGAGUGCCUAUGCUUCAAGAGAAGUUGUUGUGGGUCCAGAAGAUAAAGGAUACAAAGUGUUGCUUCUUAAUUCCACAGCUAGCAUCCAAGCAGGGGACUAAUGAGUUCUCCAUAUAGCUUCUACCUUUCUUAUCAGAUAGAGGAAUAUGACAAGAGUUAUAUCAGGAAAUAUAAGCACAGAAAGACUCUAAUUGCAGCAACAAGAAUAAAAAUCAUCAAGUAAUGAACUUCUUAAGAAAAGUGUAAGACUGACUUAUAGAAUAUCAGCUUAAAAAUAGCUGCACAGGGCCUGGGGAGAUGGCUCAGUCAGUGAAGAGUCUGGACAAGCAUGAGGACCUUGACUUCAGAUUUGCAGCACCACACGAAACACUGUGGGCAGAGGGCAGGAGCAGCGGCUCAACCAUUGAAAGCAUUGGCUACUCUUCCAGAAGACCUAGACUUGAUUCCCAGCUCCCGCACAGCGGCUCAAACCUUAAACUCCAAUUCCAGGAGAUCCAGUUUCCCCCUUCUGGCCUCUGUGAGCACCACAUGCAUGAGGUACCCAGACAUACAUGAAAUCAAAGUGGACAUAUGUAUAAAAUAAAAAUAAAUAAAUCUUCAAGUACAGCUUGUCUGUAACAUGAAUGCGGGAAAAUAGGCGGCUCCCUGGAGUUCAUUGGUCAGCUGGCCUAGCCAAAUGGGUGAACUCGAAGUUCAGAGAGAGAUGUUAUCUCAAAAAAAGAGAGAGAGACAGAGAGCAAUAGAAGAAGAAAUCCAGUGUUGACUUCUGCCUUCCACAGCAUAUGCACACACAUACAUCACAUACAUGCACACACACACACACGAGGACCCACAGUUUUGAACCCAUUCCAUCUUGAUUAAAGGUCAGAGAGUUCAAACCUAUUCUUGCUGCUCAAGGACGAACAAUGGUGUAGCUACUGGAUGCCUUGCUCCUCAAAGGCCAGACAGAAGGAUGUUUGACUUAGGGUGAAAUUAAUAAGUUUUUUGAGAUAUAAGGAAGUAAUUACGUUUGCUUAUUCUUUGUAUCAUGGAAGUUUGUGCCCUCCCCUUUAGAUUUUUUUUUUUUAACAGUAUUCACUGGAAGUCCUUAUCUUAAGUCACUGGAAGACUCUUCUAUCUCUUGUCUAUUUCUUUUCUCAAUUCACAUUCUCUUUUUCAGGAACGUACAGACAAGUCAGGCCGGACCCGACAGACACACACACGCAACUCUACAAAGGUUCCCUUUUUCCCUCAUAAAUAUGGAGGGACACAUGAUCCACAAAGUCAUGCAUCCUAUGGUUGCUGUGACGAUCCAUGAAGGAGGGCAGACAAGACAAUAAUCUGUGCAGUUUUGAAGCUCAAGGUUCCUGUUCACAGGAAGGAUUCUAUCUUUUGUACCAGGGUCAUGCCACCUGGGCAUGGCAGAAGCCACUCACUUCCGCCUGUGUGAGAAAAGCAAGAUGAUGUCUCCGCAUUUACGUGUGUCCUGGCUACUUUUCAGAGAUCCCAUUCCCUUUCCCAAAGUCAGACCCAGCCAGCCAGACCCGUCGUGCAAAGCAUCAUGGGCAACUUUGCCCGGCUCACAUUUUCCUCUGUCUUUCAAUUCUUUAUGAUGCGAAAAUUACUGUUAACUUUUGGACUGUACAAAACCAGGCAGCUGGCGUGGAUUUGGUACAUAUGUCACGGUUCGCUGUCCCCUGGUGCAGACAGUGAGGCAUUAUUGUGAGUCCUUAUGUUUAUCUGAACGGUAAGGAAGGAGAAAUCAUAGCAGAUGGUGGAUAUCAGGAAACCCCAAGGAGCCCCUUGCUCCAUCUGAGCCACGCCAGCGGCCCUGUGAUCCUGGUGUAGGUAGGCUUGCUGUUCCUCACCGAGUCUGGGAGACAAAAAUAUGCUAAUCUACCAAAUUAUUAUUACAAGUAGGAUCAAAGCUGAGUGGGGCCUCACAGACAUGU